rnacentral:rRNA from 1 species
CGGACGGGUGAGUAACACGUGGAUAACCUACCUAUAAGACUGGGAUAACUUCGGGAAACCGGAGCUAAUACCGGAUAAUAUAUUUAACCGCAUGGUUCAAUAGUGAAAGACGGUUUUGCUGUCACUUAUAGAUGGAUCCGCGCCGCAUUAGCUAGUUGGUAAGGUAACGGCUUACCAAGGCAACGAUGCGUAGCCGACCUGAGAGGGUGAUCGGCCACACUGGAACUGAGACACGGUCCAG